GAUGAAGAACGUAGCGAAAUGCGAUAAGUAGUGUGAAUUGCAGAAUUCAGUGAAUCAUCGAAUCUUUGAACGCACAUUGCGCCCCUUGGUAUUCCAUGGGGCAUGCCUGUUCGAGCGUCAUUACAACCCUCAGGCCCCCGGGCCUGGCGUUGGGGAUCGGCGGAGCCCCCCGUGGGCACACGCCGUCCCCCAAAUGCAGUGGCGGUCCCGCCGCAGCUUCCAUCGCAUAGUAGCUAACACCUCGCGACUGGAGAGCGGCGCGGCCACGCCGUAAAACACCCAACUCUUCUGAAGUUGACCUCGAAUCAGGUAGGAAUACCCGCUGAACUUAAGCAUAUCAAUAAGCGGAGGA
rnacentral:misc_RNA from 1 species